rnacentral:rRNA from 1 species
UGGGGAAUUUUCCGCAAUGGGCGAAAGCCUGACGGAGCAACGCCGCGUGCGGGAUGACGGCCUGUGGGUUGUAAACCGCUUUUCUCAGGGAAGAAUAACUGACGGUACCUGAGGAAUCAGCAUCGGCUAACUCCGUGCCAGCAGCCGCGGUAAUACGGAGGAUGCAAGCGUUAUCCGGAAUUAUUGGGCGUAAAGCGUCCGCAGGCGGCUUAUCAAGUCUGCUGUUAAAGGUCGGGGCUUAACUCCGGAUAGGCAGUGGAAACUGAUAGGCUAGAGUGUGGUAGGGGUAGAGGGAAUUCCCAGUGUAGCGGUGAAAUGCGUAGAUAUUGGGAAGAACACCAGUGGCGAAGGCGCUCUACUGGGCCACAACUGACGCUGAGGGACGAAAGCUAGGGGAGCGAAAGGGAUUAGAUACCCCCGUAGUCC